GCUGUAAGGUGAGCUCUGGCACCAGAUAUGGCUUCUCGAUCCACGCUGACUGGCAAACAUAUUUGUGCUCCUUCCAAGCCCUUUGACAUAACUGCGUGUUGAUUCAGCCCGGUUGCACUCUGUCAGCUGUUGUUGGACGCCACCCUCGCCUGCUUUGAAACUCUCAGAAAAUCAAACAAGGAAGCAGCUUCCAGGCCCCAGAAGGAAGGAGGGUAAGGAGACGGGGGCUCUUAGUGUUCGUCACAUCUGUCUUUCCCUGCAUGGCACCAAGCUGAUUGAUGUACCCACCAUACCCUACAACCGAACCAAGAGCCGCGAACCUGGAAUUAGACAGGCUUGUCUGUCGGGCUCAUCCUGUCCCGCUUCAUGGAAAGCCUUGGGUGGGCCUCCUUCGUCUUCUCCAGGCCAGCAGCCCUCCCUCCCUGCCUGCCCUGGCAACGCAUUCUCGUGAGGCUCCAGAGUAUUAGACUGGGAUUCUCCUCAUGCGCUCUGCUUAUCCAUUGUCCAAUGUGAGCAGGGCGUAGGAGCCCUGGUUCUGGCUUACAUCACCCUCAGUUCUAUUUCGGGUUAGACCACAGCGCGCAUCUGUGAACCUCAAGUCCUUGGGCAGAGCAGCAAUGACCAAGCCCUGACGCAUAUUUUCACAAACACCUACUACUUUUCACUUUCAAGUCAAGAGACAGACGCUUGACUGCAUCGUCACCGCCACAUGAGAGCUUUGGACUUGAUUCUGAUCCGACACCCGUCAUCAACUCUCCUAAUUAAAUUCCUCUCUCACAGGAUCACAACCCUGUUUCAUGUGGGUGACUAGGGACUGAGAUAGCCACUCGUACAGCUAGAUUUCUGCUCAGAAGGGGAACUGAUAUCAUUUGACAUCCCCGCACCACCACCCGCAAGCCCUAAAUUGAAAACAAACUACAAAUUGCAUUAAUUAUAGAGCAGAGGCUAUGUCUUUAUGAUGCUGGAACCAAUGCUCCCCCAAAUUAGUUGCUUAGUUUAUUAUAUAUAUAUAUAUUUUUUUUGUAAAAGAUUAUUUGUUUGGGGUUCCUGUGUCAGGACAAAUGACAGAAAUUUGUGUUAGUUUGAACUGUAAAAGAGACACGAUGAGACCACAUGAGGUGCUUAGGAUGCAAAACUAAGGCGCGAUGCUAUCAAACUCUGCCCUCACACAGCUGCCAAAACUAGUGCUUCCUUAUUUUUUCCACCUUUGCCUCAAACAGAGGGUGGCUUGGGGUCAGUUGGGGACAGAGUUAUCCUCAUAUGACUCUGGAGUGUCUCAUAGGCCAAGUCUUGGGGAUUCUAACCCAGUACAGUUGGGUGGGGUUCUGGCGUUGUUUCUCAUCAUCUUCAUCACUUAAAAUGUACAGUUAGGUUUGGGAGCCAUUGGCACAGAGUUUAGAAUACCACAGUCGGAAGGUGAUCGUUCUAGUUUAAUUUCUAACAUUGUGAUUAAAAAAGAAAACUGACCAGAACAAACUUGGGGAAGGAAAGGGGUUCAUUUGACUCAUAUGUGACAGUCCAUCACAAGGCAAGAGUUCGAGGCAGGAACUCAAACAGACGUGAAGAAAUGCUGCGUACUGGCUUGCUCAGCUAUUUUUCUUAUAGAACCCAGUUGACAAAAGAUUAGCCAACACCGUGAAUUCUCCCUGGAAUUAGGUAUUACCGGAUCUAAUUCUAUAUAUAGGAUUGUAUUUACCUGUAAGUAAAAAUAAAAUCCCUGGAUAUUGGCUUACCAAA